rnacentral:rRNA from 1 species
CAGCAGCCACGGUAAUACGAAGGGGGCUAGCGUUGCUCGGAAUGACUGGGCGUAAAGGGCGCGUAGGCGGAUUGUUUAGUUAGGCGUGAAAUUCCUGGGCUUAACCUGGGGACUGCGCUUAAUACAGGCAGUCUAGAGUGAGGAAGAGGGUUGUGGAAUUCCCAGUGUAGAGGUGAAAUUCGUAGAUAUUGGGAAGAACACCGGUGGCGAAGGCGGCAACCUGGUCCUUGACUGACGCUGAGGCGCGAAAGCGUGGGGAGCAAACAGGAAUAGAUACCCCCGUAGUCCCUGUCUCUUAUAC